AUCUGUGUCGCCUCCUGUUCCAUGUAGGCUGUACCAGGACAGGUGUUUCUUGUGUGUGUACAGCUUUAAGGCUAAAAACCAGAGACCAAUCAGUUUCAGAAUCAAGAGCAUUCUUCCUGAAGUCACUCUUGUGUUGCUUCUGGAUGCUGGCAGGUGGAAGGUUGGCUAUGUGUGCCCUCCCCGAGCUGCUCACAGUGGGAUUUGUCCCCUGGCUGAUGACCUUCCCUGGGACUCAGUAGCAUCCCAACUGAGACCAAACUAAAGUGCUUCUUGGGUCAAGUGUGAUAAGGGACCUGAGACAUCUAGGGGUCACCAUGGACCUACACUGGGGGCACCAGCUCAUUUUUUUGAGAUUUGCCCUAGGCCCCCCGAGUUCCAAGCAGGGCUCUACAGUCUAUUCAUGAGGAAUUUGGGGGUGGAAAGCUAGAUUCUGACUCAAGAGAUUUUGUAAGAUGUCACUUAAUAACAUCUGUGACCUUUCAGGGACUCAGUGAUGUGGUAGGAAUUUGUGUGCAUGUGACUCACAUAUGAAUUAUGGUAUGCUGAGGAGUGAGUUUGUGACACUCGCAUCAGAGGCAGAGGCCACUUUGGGGGAGGAGGACGAGCCUCCCCAUGACUAAGAGAAUGACCCUUACCUCAGUGUCCCCCGUAUGAUCCGGGAUGGCCAGUUGUCACGUGCCAUUGUCCAAAGGCCACAGUAGGUACACCUGUAUUCCAUACCACAGCUUCCUAAUGGCCCUGGUACCCGAGAACAGGCUCCUGCUGGAGAAAGAGCAAAGGGCUCCCUGGGGCUCUUGGCCCCUCUCUAAAUCACACCAUAAAGGCAGUAAGCACCGGCACACCCUUGGGUCACACUUUGCUGGUGGUAACAGGAGCAGAGCAGGGCAGAGAGAUUCAUGGGCUGUCAUCCCUCUGUCCUUCCUCACCCUGAUCUCCCUCACUCCCAGAGACAAGGGCUGCUCAGAGGUCUGAGGUGCGACCUGCCCUAUGGGUCUUGUUUCCUUCCAUCUGACCAGAGCUUGGAAUGGAAUUCAGCCAACAGACCUUCCUCUCCCCUCCUGGUGCUCUGCAGAUGGCCUCCUGAUCACCCAGCCAUCUCUCGGUGCACAGCAGCUGGGGUCCAUGCAGACCCGGCGCUCUGGCUCCUUGCUCCUCACGCCAUGUGAGUGGAUGGCAGGCUGGGCCAGGACUGUCCUUCCCAGGGCAAACAGACCCUCUUCUGGCGGCACAAGCUUCUGGGGCCUCGAGAGGUUUGAGGCAAAAGUCUGAGUUGAGGCCUGUGCUUGCUGCUGUCUGUCCCUGAUCUAGGAGGAACUGACCCCACAUGAUCUGGGUGUGGCUUUGAGUGGCAGAUCUGAAAACCAGAGGGAGAAAUGGCGGCUUCUUGGGGUCAGGCAGGCUGGGUACCCUCUUUCCUCCAGUGACUCUGGCGGUUCUGGUAGCAGACAAUCCAUUAAGGCUCAGACCUUUACCUCCUCCCCACCAACCCUUGGGCCUGGGUCCCAAACACAGGUCCCUAAGGGACCUCGUCAGUCCAAGCUGGCUGCCUUGAGGACUCUUUCCACACCUGCAGUGAGUCAGUCCAGGGUCACCACCUCCCACCGUCACACCAUAGAGAACUUACUAAGCCACGCACCCAUUCAAUUCACAGUGUGCCUGAGUCCGCCCAGCUAGACAGUCUUCUAUACCUGCAGUCUUGGCCUCCAUAGAGACAGACCCCACGCAAGACCCUCCUAGGGGGGUACAGAGGCCAGCCCUAUGAUGAAGGAUGUCUGCUCGGCAAUCUCGGGAGGCCUUGGGGACAGCCUCUGCCUCCUUCCUUAUCAUUACAGAUCACCUGGCAGCUCCAAGGACCCAUAGGCUGCAAAUCUGCAGAGAGGACCCCACCCCACACGCAUCGCACACACACACACACAGACACACACUUGACACACACUGCAUCCAUGAACCAUAUGCACACAUAUAUCUCCGUUGUGUGGCUUUUCCUGAGGAGACGUUGAACAAACAUCUCUUCACUCCACAUAAGACGCCAACAACAGACCAAAGGGAUGAGUCCAGCCAAGGUUCUAGGUUAAUGACCCAGCGAUUUUGUUCGUGCUACUUACGGGAGCGUGGGGGACUCAACGGCAGUUGCAUCCCUGAAAAACCCACCCCAGCAAGGCUACAGCUUGCAAGAUCUAGUCUCUGGAGUUCCCAGACUUGCAGGCAGCUUGGGCAGCUCAAGGGUCGCUUCUCCCCAGCAACUUCUGCUUUUGAAACCUCAGGAUGGGGCCUUAGGAAUCUUGUAAGUUUGCGCAGCGUCCCCUCCGAGAGGAUGCUUCCAUUUGGAUGCAGUUGUUAAGCAGCACUCCACCUCUUUUCUGACGCUUGCAUUCCCAUAUCCCCUCCCUCCCCCCCAUGAUGCUGUCUAAGCCUCGGAGGAGGUGAUGGUAACUGUUGAUUAUUUUCCCUCGCCUGUGGCUGAGAACUGUCCAUUGCAACAGCACUCACUUUCCCUCAGUAACUACUUGUGAGU